ACCAACCAAUCAGAGCUUUGUAGGUGGGUUUGAGUAAACAGUACAAGUCAUUUUAAGUCAAUAUGACACACACUAACUUAGCUGCUCCUAUCGACCUAUGAGAGUGGACACAGAUGGGACAUAAACACUCAGAGCAAAACAGAACAUGAAAAUGACUUCUUCACUACACGAGGUGUUUAAGAUUUUGGGGGCUACACAUAGACAAGUUUGAAAUGAAUCCUGCGUCCAACCCAGAGCUCUGAAAAAGAGGAGGCAGAGCAGCAGAGAGGAGAGGAAAAAGGAAAGGACAAUGACCGUGUGCCAGUUGCAGAAUUCUGAAUGCAGCUGCAGCCACCUUGACAGAGAGCGACAAGAGGGGAAAUAAAAUAUUGUUCUCCAUUCAGAUAGAAAGUGUGAGGAAUGGCCGGCGACAUCAUCUUUGACAGACAGGACUUUUGUGCUACAUGACAACUAAGCAGUUUUGGCAUGACAAUAUUUAAAAGCACAGGUAGCAGCAGAGAGGGCUGAGAGGCCAGACGCAUGCACAAAAAAAAAAACACAUAGGACACAUGCUGAACGAUGCUCAGAGCCAAAAAAACAUAAAACACGCAGAAUAGGGAAGCAGAAAAUACAGGAUUCAAUGCCUUAAAUCACUGAGUUGGCAUGCACUCUAAAAAGGUAAAUUUAGUAUUUACACAAAAUUACACCUGUGAAAAUACCACAUCUCAUGCUUCAGAUACAAUUACUUCCAGUGUUUUCAUAAGUGAUUCUGCAAGGCAAACACACGUUGCUGUUUUUGAGAUAAACACUAAAAACACAGAUUUGCACAUAUUUUCUGUAGCUAUUCAUGGUUUUAACAUGAUUGGAGCCUAAUUUAACAUUCAAACUACUUAACACAAAUGCGUGCACAUACAUGGCUCAGCAUGAAAUGCAAGUUCAUUUGAUAUAAGAGGAAAAGACCUGCACUCAAAAAGCAGCGUAAAAGAGGAGAUGAAAACGAGGGUGGUUGUAUUUGAAAGAAUUACAAAUGUACAAAAUUACACAUGCAGAAAAUAAAGUAUCACGCUCUUGCAUAUAUAAUUAUGUGCAUUCCAA